rnacentral:rRNA from 1 species
AGCGAACAGACGAGGAGCUUGCUCCUCUGACGUUAGCGGCGGACGGGUGAGUAACACGCGGAUAACCUACCUAUAAGAUUGGGAUAACUUCGGGAAACCGGAGCUAAUACCGGAUAAUAUAUUGAACCGCAUGGUUCAAUAGUGAAAGACGGUUUUGCUGUCACUUAUAGAUGGAUCCGCGCCGCAUUAGCUAGUUGGUAAGGUAACAGCUUACCAAGGCGACGAUGCGUAGCCGACCUGAGAGGGUGAUCGGCCACACUGGAACUGAGACACGGUCCAGACUCCUACGGGAGGCAGCAGUAGGGAAUCUUCCGCAAUGGGCGAAAGCCUGACGGAGCAACGCCGCGUGAGUGAUGAAGGUCUUCGGAUCGUAAAACUCUGUUAUUAGGGAAGAACAAAUGUGUAAGUAACUAUGCACGUCUUGACGGUACCUAAUCAGAAAGCCACGGCUAACUACGUGCCAGCAGCCGCGGUAAUACGUAGGUGGCAAGCGUUAUCCGGAAUUAUUGGGCGUAAAGCGCGCGUAGGCGGUUUUUUAAGUCUGAUGUGAAAGCCCACGGCUCAACCGUGGAGGGUCAUUGGAAACUGGAAAACUUGAGUGCAGAAGAGGAAAGUGGAAUUCCAUGUGUAGCGGUGAAAUGCGCAGAGAUAUGGAGGAACACCAGUGGCGAA